GGACACAGCGGGGACACAGCGGGGACACGGAGAGCCCGGCCCGGCCGGAGCUGCUCGCUCUCACCCGCUCCUCUCGCCCUCCUGCCCAUCCGCUUUGCCCGGCCCCGCGCUGCCUUUGCUGCCCUCCACCGCGGGCGCUCCGCGUCCCCUCCGAAGCUCCAUGAGCGACUUCACGAAGAAACGAAGGGGAGGAAAGUCGAGGAAUUUUCUGCUCGGCAUUGGAUCGGGGAAAAAGGAAAACGGCGAGUUCGGUCACCUGCUGUGGGUCCUGCCCGGAGGGGAGCCCGGCCCGGCCGGGCGUGCGGGAGCUUUUAUUGCCCAUAAAUGUACCGGGGGAGCGGCCGGUAAUGCGAUCAGGAAGGGAGGCAUUAGGCAGAGCGGCUCAGGCAGCGGGCGCCUACAAGCGCGCUCUCCAAAGCCGCUCGGCGGCCGGCGGCAGUAAAGGUUUUAUUGGUGACUGAGAAGCGCCCGGCAGCCGCACGCUUGGCAUUAAUGACCGCUUCGGUGGCUAGGAAUUACACUGCCGGGCUGGAGGCGAGACCCAGCGGGCAAAGGGCGCUGCGCCGUAGUAACAAGUAUUUACUAAAGGAGUUAGUGCCAAAUGAAUGCCGGGUUCCAGCCUUCGAUUUGCCGGAUAAAUUUUUUAGUAACUAUGAAAGCAGGCCAAUAACAUUUAUAGAGGAAAGCAAAAUAUUUGAAGUUACAAACUUCUCUAAUAGCUGAAAAUUGACUUCUGACAACAAGCGGGAUUUCCCCUCCUCGUUGAUUCAAAGACACGUCUAUACUUAAAUUUAAUCCUGAAAGAUCUACUAUUUAAAAAAUAACAGCACCCCGCAGAGCAAUUUCCCAGCUGUAGAAGAACAUUUAAAACCAAACCGCAGUGUUGCCUGUGGGCAGACGUGUUUAGAGCCGGUGAGAGCAGAGCAUCCACAAUAUUUAUGUUAGGAUUUUCGGGUAUGCAGGGAGCACAGGAAUGUUAUUCUCUCCUGCAGAUCCUGAAGUCCUUCUUACAAAGUUUUCUUUUUGAUCUGCUUGUUGUCAAGUAAUUAGUAAAAGGAAUUACCCGCUCUGGCGCUGUGCCUUAAGGUAGCAGAGGCAUUAGGGCUGUAAACUUCGCAUUUUCUGCAUAUCUCCGGCUCGCCUUCCUCCUCCACCGGCAGCGGUCCUUUCAGGGGGGUUAAAAUUGCAAUUUAGCUCCCUGUAAGCUGUGAAGGGAUGUGCUAUGUCACCGUCAGAGCCCAUUUGAAGCUAACAGGACGGCUGCAGUGCCUCUCCGGGGUGCUGCGGCGGGGCACGGCUGGCACACACCGAGGCACAGCUGGGAGAAACAGAUGCCGCGACCAUCACAGCGACUUCCACUGUCCUCGGGAAGACAGUCUCCUUUUGUCUUUGAAAACAUCUCACGCGAAUUUCCCCAGGUGGACCACGGUGACGCGGCUGUGAAGUGACCCGGUUGUCACUCUGGGGGACCCUCCUGAAACAGGAGAAGAAAAAAACAAACCCCAUCUCUCUCCCCCCCGCACACCAUGCCCCCGCCUCCUCGGAGCCUAAGCAAGGACAAGCGGAUUCAUUUCCCCUGGCAAUCCCCGAGGGUCGCUUGGCUUCGCCUCCAUCCACGGCCGGCCACCGGGCAAAUCCCUCCGGCUGCGGGGGCACAGCUGCGGCCCGGGGACCGGGAGGAGGAGGAGGAGGAGGAGGAAGGGCAGCUCGCCGCUGGCAUUAGUUGUGAGCACCGCCUUAGCAGUGCUCCUGUCCGAGGCUGCAGGAACAGAGCCAACAGCGAGAUCACCGGGCGCUGGGUUUUCUUUGGGUGUUUGCAGAUCUCUACAAAUACGGGGCCUGCCGGUUUUUAUAAACAACUUUCAGGACACAGUCAAUCAAUCAUGCUGGCAAGCAAGCAGACCAGGAGCCUAGGAUAUAUACAAGGCAUAAAUUUAUACAUAUAAACCCUGUCAAUUUUGGAGUAGUUACAAUUUUUUUUCUAUAAGCCUAAGGGAAACCGUAUCUAGAAAGAUUCUGACAAGUCAGGAAAUCACAGUGGAAAAGUAGAAGGUAUUGUUAGGAAGUUAUGUUAUAUUGCAUGUUUUAAGACCAGCAUGGGAAAUUUUGGAAAAGAGAAAGAGAAAAAAAGUGUCUAAACAAGUCAAAGAUUUAAAAAAAAUUAUUAUGUCUAUAGUCAGAGAGAAAAUGUCAAGAAUAUGUAGCUGAAAACAUGAAACCUGGCCACUUUAGAAGAAUGUAAUAGAUUUAUCUGUAAAAGACACGAGUUUACCAGAUUUUCUAGUCAGCAAAGUAUUCUUUAUGUUGUAGUCAUUUCUAGGCUUUAAUUUGAAACAUAUUUGUAUCUAGGGAUAGGUCCUUGCAAAUACACUGUAUUGUUUUGUUCUGUUUUUAUAAAUGAUCUUUUGAUAGUAAGAGCUCUGCACAGCAUGGAGUUUGUGCUCUCUCUUUUUGACACUGAGUCCAUUUUUCUUGCAAAAGGAUAUAUGUGAACAAGGAACUCAUAAAAUGAAGGGUGCAACAGGUUUGAACAGCCCAGCAAUGCAGAAAGAAUAGUUGCAUAUCAAGGUAGGAGAAGGAUAAUAAAGUUUCCAGACUUAAAAGAGGAGGACAUAUUCUGUGCUGGUGUAAAUUAGGAGUUUCACUGAAAUAGAGGACUGGUUGGUACUGCAGAAACUGAGUGCUGUUCUUAUGCGGCUAUGAUCCAAAACUGUGGCUCCUUCUGCAUAGUGAGCAUUGAGGAAAGCCUGGGCAAUGAUGCUCAGAGAGCAGAAGCUGUGCUGUAGGAGAAAGCAUCAAGAGGAGCUUUUCCCAACUGGCAAAAACUGCCAAACAAGCUUGUAAAAUUGAGGGCCAGAGUGUUGUUUUUGCUCAGGAAAGACAUUGUGACUGCAUUGCCUCUAUGCAGCUAUUGUCAGGAAUAAUUUUAUUUUUUUGAAAUUACUGCAUUUGUUAUGUAAGUUUAACUAUCAAGAAUAAACUUGGUAUUUGAUCAUUUCA